rnacentral:rRNA from 1 species
CCUACGGGGGGCUGCAGUGGGGAAUAUUGCGCAAUGGGCGAAAGCCUGACGCAGCGACGCCGCGUGAGGGAUGAAGGUCUUCGGAUCGUAAACCUCUUUCAGCAGGGAAGAACGGUCACUGUGCUAUUCAGCAGUGAAUUGACGGUACCUGCAAAGGAAGCACCGGCUAACUCCGUGCCAGCAGCCGCGGUAAUACGGAGGGUGCGAGCGUUAAUCGGAAUUACUGGGCGUAAAGCGCACGUAGGCGGUAUGUCAAGUCAAGGGUGAAAUCCCCGCGCUCAACGUGGGAACUGCCUUUGAAACUGGCAGGCUGGAGUGUGUUAGAGGAGAGUGGAAUUCCAGGUGUAGGAGUGAAAUGCGUAGAGAUCUGGAGGAACAUCAGUGGCGAAGGCGACUAUCUGGCACAAAACUGACGCUGAGGAGCGAAAGCGUGGGUAGCAAACAGGAUUAGAUACCCUAGUAGUC